GUAUGCUUUUCUCCUCAUCUCCUGGGGAUUCACCAUACUUGUACUGUACUUAGUGAGGACCCUACUGACUUUAACCUCGCUUCAGCUCCAAUCUCCUGAGCUCAAGAAAUCCACAGACUUUUCAGCCUCCCCGGCAGGGUGUGAGCCAAUACAGCCAGUCCUUGGUCUGUUUUUGUGUCUCAGAUUUUGAUCCACUGACUUCUGGGGGGGAAAUAUUAUUGACAUAGUUUGUUCUAUCACUUUCUGUCCCUGUCUUCUCUCCCACUGAAAGAACCAUGCUUUGUAAUAAAGAAGAAGACAGGGAAAGAAGUAAUUAAACAAAACCAACCAAUAUAUCAGCUGAGGAUGCAAUGUUCCGAACUCAUAGUACCCCACCUCUGAGAAGAAGAGGAGAGAUGCAUUUUCUGAUAUCUGCUUCAAAGACAAGCUUUGGCCCUUUUGUUUGAAACAAAUCCUACAGGAGAGUCAAAAAAAAUUCACAAAUUAUGUCUCAUGAUUCCCAUGAAAACUAUUUACUUGUGUGAAACAGAUAUUCAUCAUCCAUUCUUGGAGAUAUCAGGAAAAGCAUUCAAUCAAACCAGCCCUGGGAGAGAGACCAGAAAAGGCCACUUACCAAUGCAGAAGGUAAUUUGAUGGCCUGUUGAUUUCUCUAAUGUGUCCAACAGCCAUUUGCCACACUACCCAUUUUGUGGUGCUUCUUAAGCUUGAGGUAUCAUUUUGGAAAAAACUUCAUUUUCAAAAACAACCUCAACUCAAACAUUUAUUGUUUAAAAUCAUUUAAACCAGUCACUGCAAAAGUGGCUGCUGUUUGUCAAAGGAUUUUGAUAUUUAGACUGAGGUAGGGAAAAGCAUUUUUUGUUCUUCUUUAAACAUAACUUCUGAAAUGGGAGGCAAAGACAAGAUCUUGUUAUUUGACACAGAUUGGAGCAUGUAGCUUUGAAGGGCACAGCAAAUGACAUUCCUGUUUUUAUUUCUCUGGUUAUUGUUAGAUAUGAUAGUGUGGGAGUUCUUUCCUCCCUUUUCAAUACAAUCAAAGGGUAGUUUUCAGUAUCUUCUUUCUUAGGGGUUCUUAAUGUGGGGAAUGUGGACUUGGUUGCUUUUGUUUCUAAUAUUUUGAUAACUAUAUUCUAAUAUAGUUUCCUUUGUAAUCCUGUUUGUUUUCUUUUGUUAAUUUAAAAACAGUUUCCUGAGAAUAAGUCUAUGGGCUUCAUCAAACUGCCCCAGAGCUCCACGACACACAAAAAAAAAAACAUUAAGAACUGCCCCCCCCAUCUAAAGCUUCAAAAGCUGACCCCAUUUGAUAUUUGAUUCUCAUUUCUGUAUUCACCUCAUCAAUGCCAUUCAGGAUUUCCUGGCAUUCAAUUUUGUCUCCUACCAGUCAGAGAUCCAUAACUUGAAAUUGUUGUAUAUGAAUCAAGCAGGGGCUAAAAAUAGAGGUAAGUGUCGCCAAGGAUGCAGCCUCUGAGGAGAAAAAAAAAACUUGCCCCAGGACACCAUAAGGUUCCUAGGCUGCUAAAGGACUGGCUAAUGCUGAAGAGAC
rnacentral:lncRNA from 1 species